rnacentral:lncRNA from 1 species
CUGCUUUGGAUAAUCUUUUGAAGAUUUAUUUCCGGCUCAAUGGUACUCAGCAGAAGGCUUUCCGGUCAACAUUGGCCAGCAUCGAUUGCCCCAACUGGCCUGCUGCAAAAAGUUACUGCAUUUUUGAACCUCUGGUUACUUAUCAAGUGAACAAGCGUGGCUUCGAUACAUACCUAGAAGAGCACUUUGAUUGUUUACUCAUUUUGCGAAACCAUAAUGAGCACGGCAAAGUGGUACUAAAUGUCUAAUCUCUCUAUUAUAACUGUUUCCCUUUUAUUGUUUGCUGUUGUUCUAAAGAUUAGUUUAAAUUACAGUUGGAAUGGGAAUUGCUUGACUAUGCCUCAGUUGCGUGCUUCGGAGAUUUUGUUCAGGAUUCUUUCUUGGGUCUUAUGCUAAAGGGCUAUGAAGUUCAUAAAGCCCUUGCUUAAAGGUAACAAGUCAUUUGUUCCUAAAUUCUGUUCUUAUAGCCACUGUUGGGUAAAUAUUUCUUGGAUAAUUUGUGGUAGAUUCUUAGAUAGGGACAUAAAAUUGGAUAACAUUGUUCCUAGUCUUUGGUUCCCUCUUUGUUUCUU